rnacentral:rRNA from 1 species
GCGGAUGACCUGUGGCUGGGGGUGAAAGGCCAAUCAAACCGGGAGAUAGCUGGUUCUCCCCGAAAGCUAUUUAGGUAGCGCCUCGUGAAUUCAUCUCCGGGGGUAGAGCACUGUUUCGGCUAGGGGGCCAUCCCGGCUUACCAACCCGAUGCAAACUGCGAAUACCGGAGAAUGUUAUCACGGGAGACACACGGCGGGUGCUAACGUCCGUCGUGAAGAGGGAAACAACCCAGACCGCCAGCUAAGGUCCCAAAGUCAUGGUUAAGUGGGAAACGAUGUGGGAAGGCCCAGACAGCCAGGAUGUUGGCUUAGAAGCAGCCAUCAUUUAAAGAAAGCGUAAUAGCUCACUGGUCGAGUCGGCCUGCGCGGAAGAUGUAACGGGGCUAAACCAUGCACCGAAGCUGCGGCAGCGACGCUGAUGCGUUGUUGGGUAGGGGAGCGUUCUGUAAGCCUGUGAAGGUGGCCUGUGAGGGUUGCUGGAGGUAUCAGAAGUGCGAAUGCUGACAUAAGUAACGAUAAAGCGGGUGAAAAGCCCGCUCGCCGGAAGACCAAGGGUUCCUGUCCAACGUUAAUCGGGGCAGGGUGAGUCGACCCCUAAGGCGAGGCCGAAAGGCGUAGUCGAUGGGAAACGGGUUAAUAUUCCCGUACUUGGUGUUACUGCGAAGGGGGGACGGAGAAGGCUAUGUUGGCCGGGCGACGGUUGUCCCGGUUUAAGCGUGUAGGUGUGUGUUCCAGGUAAAUCCGGUUCACUUUAACACUGAGGCGUGAUGACGAGGCACUACGGUGCUGAAGCAACAAAUGCCCUGCUUCCAGGAAAAGCCUCUAAGCAUCAGGUAACAUCAAAUCGUACCCCAAACCGACACAGGUGGUCAGGUAGAGAAUACCAAGGCGCUUGAGAGAACUCGGGUGAAGGAACUAGGCAAAAUGGUGCCGUAACUUCGGGAGAAGGCACGCUGACAC